AGAGUUUGAUCAUGGCUCAGAGCGAACGCUGGCGGCAGGCCUAACACAUGCAAGUCGAACGGUUCCUUCGGGGACAGUGGCAGACGGGUGAGUAACGCGUGGGAACGUGCCCUUUGGUUCGGAAUAACUCAGGGAAACUUGAGCUAAUACCGGAUACGUCCGAGAGGAGAAAGAUUUAUCGCCGAAGGAUCGGCCCGCGUCUGAUUAGCUAGUUGGUGGGGUAACGGCCUACCAAGGCGACGAUCAGUAGCUGGUCUGAGAGGAUGAUCAGCCACACUGGGACUGAGACACGGCCCAGACUCCUACGGGAGGCAGCAGUGGGGAAUAUUGGACAAUGGGCGCAAGCCUGAUCCAGCCAUGCCGCGUGAGUGAUGAAGGCCCUAGGGUUGUAAAGCUCUUUUAUCCGGGACGAUAAUGACGGUACCGGAAGAAUAAGCCCCGGCUAACUUCGUGCCAGCAGCCGCGGUAAUACGAAGGGGGCUAGCGUUGCUCGGAAUCACUGGGCGUAAAGGGCGCGUAGGCGGACGUUUAAGUCAGGGGUGAAAUCCCGGGGCUCAACCUCGGAAUUGCCUUUGAUACUGGAUGUCUCGAGACCGGAAGAGGUAAGUGGAACUGCGAGUGUAGAGGUGAAAUUCGUAGAUAUUCGCAAGAACACCAGUGGCGAAGGCGGCUUACUGGUCCGGAUCUGACGCUGAGGCGCGAAAGCGUGGGGAGCAAACAGGAUUAGAUACCCUGGUAGU
rnacentral:rRNA from 1 species